rnacentral:rRNA from 2 species
GUCUCUGCGAAGCCGCAAGGCGAAGUAUAGGGGCUGACGCCUGCCCGGGGCUGGAAGGUUAAGAGGAGGGGUUAUCCUGUGGGAGAAGCGCGGAAUCGAAGACCCAGUAAACGGCAGCCGUAACUAUAACGGUCCUAAGGUAGCGAAAUUCCUUGUCGGGUAAGUUCCGACCCGCACGAAAGGCGUAACGAUCUGGGCACUGUCUCAACGAGAGACUCGGUGAAAUUAUAGUACCUGUGAAGAUGCAGGUUACCCGCGACAGGACGGAAAGACCCCGUGGAGCUUUACUGUAGCCUGAUAUUGAAUUUCGUACAGCUUGUACAGGAUAGGUAGGAGCCUGAGAAGCCGGAGCGCUAGCUUCGGUGGAGGCGUCGGUGGGAUACUACCCUGGCUGUAUUGAAAUUCUAACCCGCGGCCCUGAUCGGGCCGGGAGACAGUGUCAGGUGGGCAGUUUGACUGGGGCGGUCGACUCCUAAAAUGUAACGGAGGCGCCCAAAGGUUCCCUCAGAAUGGUUGGAUUUCAUUAGUAGAGUGUAAAGGCACAAGGGUGCUUGACUGCGAGUCCUACAAGUC